GGAUUAGAUACCCUGGUAGUCCACGCCGUAAACGAUGUCUACUAGUUGUUGGGGAACUUGAUUCCUUAGUAACGAAGCUAACGCGAUAAGUAGACCGCCUGGGGAGUACGGCCGCAAGGUUAAAACUCAAAUGAAUUGACGGGGGCCCGCACAAGCGGUGGAGCAUGUGGUUUAAUUCGAUGAUACGCGAGGAACCUUACCUACUCUUGACAUCCAGAGAACUUACUAGAGAUAGUUUGGUGCCUUCGGGAACUCUGAGACAGGUGCUGCAUGGCUGUCGUCAGCUCGUGCUG
rnacentral:rRNA from 1 species